AUUGAACGCUGGCGGCAGGCCUAACACAUGCAAGUCGAGCGAGCGGCGGACGGGUGAGUAAUGUCUGGGAAACUGCCUGAUGGAGGGGGAUAACUACUGGAAACGGUAGCUAAUACCGCAUACCAUCAGAUGUGCCCAGAUGGGAUUAGCUAGUAGGUGGGGUAACGGCUCACCUAGGCGACGAUCCCUAGCUGGUCUGAGAGGAUGACCAGCCAAACUGGAACUGGGACCCGGUCCAGACUCCUACGGGAGGCAGCAGUGGGGAAUAAUGCACAAUGGGCGCAAGCCUGAUGCAGCCAUGCCGCGUGUGUGAAGAGGGCCGUCGGGUUGUAAAGCACUUUCAGCGGGGAGGCGUUAACCGCAGAAGAAGCACCGGCUAACUCCGUGCCAGCAGCCGCGGUAAUUC
rnacentral:rRNA from 1 species